UUGAACAUCAGACUUCAAGUUCUUCAGUUUUGGGACUUGGACUGGCCCCUUGCUCCUCAGCUUCCCAAUGGCCUACUGUGGGACCUUGUGAUCAUAAGCUGACAAACGGUUUAUAUCAGAAGGUGGAAUCGUGGGUAUGGUCGAUGUGGCAGGUCCUAAACAUAAAUUGGGUAAGCUAAGGCAAGCAAAGCUGUUACUUUUG
rnacentral:lncRNA from 10 species